rnacentral:sRNA from 1 species
AAAGAGGGCCACGAGCUGCGAAAGGGCGGGAAAGGCAGUUGGAGAAGGAGAGGUAAGCGGUUACUCACUCCAUGGCUGCAGCAAGGAGAGGCGGCGGCGGCCUCGGCUGAAGAAAGAAGGUGGGAGCGGAGAGCGCAGGCGUGCCGAGGUGGAUGUCCGUCUUUUCUCUGUUGCAGAAACCCACCUUGUCCCAUCCACAUCAGGACAUCCCAGCUGGAGUUCAACCUUCAUCCCUUCUGUGGCAGUUAGGAGACUGAAUCAAGGUCCAGAGAAGGUGGAGGAAUCCUGAUAUUGAGCGCUUUUAGAGCUGCUUCUGCCUUCCUUGGCUCCUGGCUUUCUCACAUCAUCAGAUUCCAAAGCGCAUCACUCCAGUCUGCUCGCGUCACCACAAGCUUUCUUCCCUUCUCCAGUCAGUCAAAUCCGUCUUCUAAGGAUACUGCUGAUCAUCUUUAGGGCUCACGCCUGUAGU